UUUCCGGUUGAUCCUGCCGGACCCGACUGCUAUCAGAGUGAGACUAAGCCAUGCGAGUUAACGUAUGAAUAAUACGUGGCACACGGCUCAGUAACACGUAGUCAACAUGCCCAGAGGACGUGGAUAACCUCGGGAAACUGAGGAUAAACCGCGAUAGSCCAUAAUUACUGGAAUGGGUUAUGGCUUAAACCUAUAUGGCCUCUGGAUUGGACUGCGGCCGAUCAGGCUGUUGGUGAGGUAAUGGCCCACCAAACCUGUUACCGGUACGGGCUCUGAGAGGAGGAGCCCGGAGAUGGGCACUGAGACAAGGGCCCAGGCCCUAUGGGGCGCAGCAGGCGCGAAACCUCUGCAAUAGGCGAAAGCCUGACAGGGUUACUCUGAGUGAUUCCCGCUAAGGGGAUCUUUUGGCACCUCUAAAAAUGGUGCAGAAUAAGGGGUGGGCAAGUCUGGUGUCAGCCGCCGCGGUAAUACCAGCACCCCGAGUGGUCGGGACGAUUAUUGGGCCUAAAGCAUCCGUAGCCGGUCAUGCAAGUCCUCCGUUAAAUCCACCUGCUUAACAGAUGGGCUGCGGAGGAUACUACAAGGCUAGGAGGCGGAAGAGGCAAGCGGUACUCAGUGGGUAGGGGUAAAAUCCUCUGAUCCAUUGAAGACCACCAGUGGCGAAGGCGGCUUGCCAAUACGCGCUCGACGGUGAGGGAUGAAAGCUGGGGGAGCAAACCGGAUUAGAUACCCGGGUAGUCCCAGCUGUAAACGAUGCAGACUCGGUGAUGGGCCGGCUUUAUGCCGGCUCAGUGCCGCAGGGAAGCCGUUAAGUCUGCCGCCUGGGGAGUACGGUCGCAAGACUGAAACUUAAAGGAAUUGGCGGGGGAGCACCACAAGGGGUGAAGCCUGCGGUUCAAUUGGAUUCAACGCCGGAA
rnacentral:rRNA from 1 species